AUGACGGGUGGCUCUCCAGCAGACGUGGAUUCUGGUGGACGUGUGGCAUCGGUAGAACAACAUUUGCUACUCCCCCGCUCCAGCCUACCUGGGCCAGGGAAGGGGCUUGGAGGUAUCUUCCCAGAGGGAUUGUACUAAGGGUCACACUGUUCCUAACUGAAGCCACCCUGAUACCCUCUUUCACCCAGUGGCAUUUGCAACUGAACACAGCAUGUGCGUGAAGGAGCUGUCGUGCUUGUUGGCUUGGCAGGGGCCAAGAGGAGACUGAUGGCAUCGUCUUAAGUUACCGGAUGACUUCACGUAUCCCGAGAGGCAGUUGCAAGGACAGUCAAUUCCCCCAGGUGGGCCCCAGGAUCUAGAAUCACAUAGGAUAAAAGGAUCUGGGCACAUCUGUGAAGACAUUUUUGGAUUGGGCUGAGAUAGGAAGACUCAUCCUGAAUGUGGUGGCACC
ensembl:lincRNA Gm43154 predicted gene 43154